GAUAAUAUUGCUGAUGAUGACCCUAUUCUUAUAGCUGAAACUUGUGUUUUUUCUUUAGAAAGAAGCCCCGUCAGAAGAAUGAAAAAUGACCACAUGGUUAUCUGCAUCUUCAUGUAUACUGGUAUGUAUUACUGCCUCAUUCUCUGGUUGAAUCAUAUCGUAUGAUGGCACAAAAUUCUGCAAACAUCAUUAUCCUUUUGAAAUAGGACCUGCUAAGGCUUCCCCACUUCUCGACAAACGAAAAAAGUAAUAACUUUACAAGUGGGAUCCAUAUUGUGAUUUUUAAAUGUUUUGGUCCAGCAUCUUAAUGACUGAUUUGGUACAUACAUUCACUAUCUAGUGGAUGUGUGUGGAUGGUUUCUCUUCACUUAUCUUUUUUGUAUUUUUUGUUUGGUUUUUCAUCCUAUGUGAAUGAGAAAAGUUAUUUGGAUCAAACCUAUCUUUUUAUGGCUCAUUACUCAUGUUUUAUAUCGUUUAAAGAUCUAAUUUUAGGUUUGGUCUGUUUGUGAUACUAGAAGAGAGACUAGAGGGAGAAGAUCAUAUGAGAAAAUUUCCUUUUAUCUGCAGAUUUUUUGUACUUUCAGUUAAAUUUAAUUUGCAUUUUCGAUUCAUCAUUGUUGGAUCGAUCUGGUCUUUUUAUGUGGAGUUUCUAACGUCCUAUUCUUAAUUUGAAUAGUGGAGAUAGUGAUUGUAUCUACUGUUUCCCUUUCCAUGCCUCAUUUGAUAUGUUUUACUUGAGCCGAGGUAUCUGUUGGAAACAAUCUCUCUAACUUCACAAGGUAGGGUGAGGUUGCGUACACCCCACCCUCCUCAAACCCCACUUGUGAGAUUAUAUGCUUAUGUUGUUGUCGUUGAGAUCGUGAUUGUAGCUGCAAAAUUUUGUUUUAAGAAAUAGACGGCUUUGUCUUCAAGCCAUCAAUAAAAUUAAGCUAAUAUGUGAUUAUGAUUGUACAUUGAUGCUUUAGUCCUCUUUACUAUCGGCAAGCUAAUACACGAUUAUGAUAUUUAGUGCAUUGAUGCAUAAGUCUUCAUUUAUUUAUAGUUUGCUAAUAUGUGAUUAUGAUAUAUAGACAUUGAUGCAAAAGUCUUCUUCACUUUAUAGUGAGCUAAUAUGUGAUUAUAUAUAUAGUGAUUGAUGCAGAAGUCUUCUUUAUUUUACGUCGAGCUAAUAUAUGAUUAUGAUAUAUAGUACAUUAUAUUGAUGCAUAAGCUUUCUUUACUUUAUGUCGAGCUAAUAUGUGAUUAUGAUAUAUAGUGAGUCGUCUCUGAUUAUGAUAUACAGUGAGUCUUCUUUAUUUUAUGUAAAGCUAAUAGUAUGUGAUUAAGAUGUAUAGUAACAUUGAUGUAUAAAUUUUCUUUUAUUUUACAGCUUUUUGAUUAUUUUGUGUGGUGGCUACACUAGUCCCUACAAGUCUUACUAUAGUCCAUUCUAUAUAAUGGUCGAUUGUCCCCUCCAUUAUUGGCUCAAUUCACUAGAUUCAAAAUAUAACAUACGUGUUCACAGGAAUCAAUUAUUUAUAUUAAUGAUUCUUCUAAAUGUCUACAAAUAUUUAACUAUGAACUUAAUUUUUAUUAGUAUAUUACUUGAAGUUGUAUUUAACUAUGAACUCAAAUUUCAUUACUAUUAUAUUACUUGAAGUUGUUGUAGAAACUAAUAAAUUUUAAAUUUUGGAUUUGGCACUCCAUAAAUGCUAAAAGUCAAUAACGACCAGUUUUAAUUAUUGGUAUUAAAGGGUUUUAGCAUAAAGUAGUAUUGUUGUACUCAAUAGCCUAUUGGGUCCCUAUUUUUUUGUGCUGACAUACUUUUUGUGAGCACAUUUUGUGGUUCUAAAAAGAUUUAAAGGACAAAAAAUCUGGUAGUUAAAAUCUUUAGAAACAAGAGCAUACACAGUUUAAAAUCUGUUUAUUAAUCUGAAGUAAUUAUCGGAAAAAUAUUUUGAGAGAGUAAUAGUUUGUAUUUGACUAAUCAAUUAGAACAAUAUUUUUGCCAAUAUUACAGUGAUGAGUUGUGGCCUGAUUGUGAGUGAGUGGAAAAGAGCAAGGAGUAAACACGUAAUUAAGCCGAAAGGAAUUCAACAUCUACUAUAUAUAGAUAUAAAAAAAAAAUAGAACCCCUUGCCCUACUUGGCUCCGCCCGUCCAUGAAUAAACAUGAUGCUUAUAAUAAGACACCUUUUUCUAUUUUGAACUAUAGGAUAAGUAAUUUAAACUCAACUAGGAUUUUGCUAAUUCAGUUUUAUCUUUUUAGAUAUCUAUAAUCUUUAUGGUAGGAAUCAAAUAUUGUAAAUAGUAGUCAUAUAUUAUCCAUUUAAAAUUUCAAGAAGAUAAAUAGUGUAAUUAUUUCCAACAAUAUAUGACUCAUAACAUGAAUUAUUUCCAUCAUAAACCAUAGAAUUUAAGUGCUCCCUCUCAAUUUCAAUUUGUUUGGUUGGUUUUAACGGUCCUACGGAUUUUAAGAAAGUAAAAAAGAUAUGUAGAAUGUAUCAUUGACAUGAGCAAUAGAGCUAUUAGACAAAGUAACUAAUGGAUAUAAGAAUUAGAAACUAAUCUCAUAUUAUCCGAUCAUGUGAUUAGUGGCACGUGAGUCAAGUAUCCAAUAACUCAAUGUGGACGAUUGCUAGCUAACUAGAGAGCCAUACUCCAAAAAAAAAACAUAUCAAAGCAAAUUGAAAAAGAAAUAAUCAACAAAGUGAUUCAAGAAUCAUGAUGAGUUGAGUUAAUGCAAUGUACAAACCAGAUUUACAAACUGAAUCCAUCACUAUAAGCACAUCCAAAUAUGAUUAUCCCAACCAAUGAAGCUAUCAUCCAAAUACCCUACAAAAUGAUAGUAAUAUGACAAUAAAAAGUAAACAAGAAUGACUUAAGACACAUCUGCAGCUGUUUCUUCAAUGGUUCCAGGUAUGAAAUUUCUUCACACUUGUCUUUUUAAUUUCACUCCAAGUCUGAAUUUGUGGGUUGACUCUGUGUGAUUUGAUGUUGACGGGUAAUGGUGAUAGUGGGGUGGGGUGGGGGUGGAAUUCGACUUCCUGAGGUUAUUAAGGCAAUCAGGGAAAAUGGAUGCCUGUAAGGUGUUUGUUUAAGUGUCUGAAUGAAUUCUUUACCUUUGUGAAGGAUAUUUCACUGUCAUGUUGAUUCAAAAUGGUUAGAUAGUUCACUCUGACUAUGGCAUUGCACUUUCUGAUUUAGAAUGUCUAUCAUUGAGAUGUUUCUGGUUAACUGAAACUUCAUGUAGACACGUGGUUAUGAUCACACUGAAUUUGCACUCUUAAGUAUUCAGUCUAGGUUUUGCUUAACUUUGAACCCUUUAGGCUCUAGGGGUCUGUCUCCAACCUCCAACUUAGCAUUAGUUUCCUCGUGAGUCUCGUCAAUCAAAACUACGUCAUCCGCAAAUAACAUACACCUUGACACCUCAGCUUGAAUUUGUCGCGUCAAUACAUCCAUCACCAAGGCACAUGGAAACGGGCUAAGAGUUGAUCCUUGGUGCAACCCUAUUAACAUGGGAAAGUGUUUUGAGUCUCCUCUCACUGCCCUAACUUGAAUCUUGGCUCCAUUGUACAUGUCCUUAAUCGACUUAAUGUACGCCACGGCCCAUAGGUAUACCUCUAGCCUCUAAACAUCUCCAUAGAACCUCCCUGGGGACUUUGUUGUAAGCCUUUUCUAGGUCGAUGAAUACCAAUGCAAGUCAUUCUUCCUAUCCCUAUACUGCUCCGUCAGUCUCCUUACGAGAUGAAUGGAUUCUGUAGUCGAGCAUCCUAACAUAAAUCCAAAUUGGUUCUCAAAAAUUGUCACGAUCCUCCUCACUCUCAUCUCCACCACCCUCUCUCAUACCUUCAUAGUCUGGCUUAGCAGUUUGAUACCCCUAUUGUUGUUGCAAUUUUGAAUAUCACCCUUAUUCUUGUACAAAUAAUCAUACCCCAUCUCCAUGCAUCGGGCAUCUUCGUCAUCUUGAAAACAACACUAAACAACUCAGUAAGCCACUCCAUACCUGCCCUGCCUAUGCUCUUCCAAAAAUCCACCUAAACUUCGUCUGCCAGUCAUUCUACCCUUACGCAACUUAGGAAUAUCAACCUUAACCUCCUCAACUUUUAUAUGCCUAGAAUAAACAUAAUCACUAUUCACGACGCCUCUCUAAGUGCUCCAACUCUCCUAGCACAAUGCCUUAACUAAUGAGUACCUCCUCUACCAGUACUUUGUCAUCAUCAUCCUUGAUACACUUCACUUGGUCAAGGUCACAGGCCCUCCUCUCUCUAGCCUUAGCUAACUUGUAUAACUUCUUAUCCUCAUUUGUGUUCGCUAAUUUUACGUACAAGCGCUCAUUUUUGCUGUAGUAACCGCUAACUCUGUCUCCUUUUAAACCAUCUUAGCUUAUACUUCUCCCUAUUCGUCCACUUCUCCUUCUUGUCUUACUCUCCACCAACUUCGCAUAAGCCAACUUCUUUGGGUCCAAUUUCCCUUGUACUUCUCCAUUCCACCACCAGUCCACUCUAUGCCCACCAGAACGGCCUCUCGAGAUACCCAACACCUCUCUAACUGUCACCCUAAUAAAAGUUUCAUAAAUUGAAUGCACAUGUUUUAUGUUAAUAGAUACAACUUAAAAUAUGAGUGGUCUACACAUUAGUUAAACUCAAUUGAUAAUCCUUGCGACUAACUUGAUACCUUGAUAAAGUAUCACCUCAACAUAUUACUUUAAUAAAUAAUAGCAUGAACUUCGUUUGAAUCAUAAAUUAGUUUUCUGCACAAUUUGUCCACUGGUAAUUCUGAAACCUUUUCAUGGUUACUUUGUGUUGACUUUACUCUAACUCAUAUAGUCUAAUUUCAAAAGUUACAUUGGAAGGUUAAAAUAAUUUCUCUGCUAUCUUUUUUAUCUUAAAGCAAGCACCAACAAUAUAACAAAGUAAGGCUGUUCAAGAAAAACUGAAAAGCCGAUCAAAAUUGAACUGAAAAAUGAAUCAAACCAACUAAAAAGAGAGACAUGUAUUUGGUUUGAUAAUAUACUGGAAAAAGAUGAACCAAAACGACAUUUAUUUUUAUAGAAGACUAUAAUAAAAAUAAAUGUCAUUUUGGAAGUAAUUAUAAUAAAGGAUUCAUUAUUGUUUAGUUAAAUGCGUGGGUAUAACGUGUAUGAUCACUUUCUUAGCAAGUAUUGUUUAAGUACUUCAAAUCUGUCUUUCAUUUUCACAAGCGAAGAUUUAUUAAACUAAUUGUUAUUUGAUAUUGUUUUAUCAAUAGUUCUUAAAAAGGGCUUAAUGGUUCACGACCACCCUUACAUUAUCUUUAUCAACAACAACAACAACAAAAAAAUAAAAUUUGGGACCACUUUGAAAUUGACACCAUUUGUUCGGUGUACACUCGAACUACUGUUGGUCCUACUAUCCCCCCUAAACUUGGUAUUUUUAAUAGCCUUCACUUGCUAAACACUGACAUGGCAAAGAGCAUGGAUACACUCUCUUUUAGGCACGUGAGAGUGAAGAAAAAGUUGAAAAAUCACUUCCAAGUGAGGUAUCUUGCAACGGUGAAUUGCCAUAGUCAUAUCAUAUACAAUAGUUUAUUUGUUCAAAAUUGUAUAUUUCUUCUUACAUCUUCUUAAUAAACCACACAUAUCUUACCAUAUAUUCAUUUUUUUCAAUUCAAGUCUAUAAAAGAGACUUCACUGAAGUUCUAUUAUUUUAGCCACUUAAAAGGUUUUAGUCAAAAUAAUGGAGUUCCAAGUGUAAACUUUCUUUAUACUUACAAAAAAAAGGGGUAAAUUUUCUUUCUAUUUCUUAUUAAGAGACCAACAACUAUUUAUUUCAUCUGUGUACUUUUUCUUUUUCGGGGAAAAUCUAUAAAACAAAUUUCUAGAGCUCCAUUAUUUUUCACCAAAUAAAAAUAGUUAGCCAAAAUAAUGAACUUUUCAACUAUGUAUUUCUUUUUAGAUGCAAUGAUGAUUUGUUUCAGCUGUGUAUUUCUUCUUUUUCUGUCUACGAGUGUAAAAAAUAAAAAUAUACAAAAAUAAAAAAAAAUAAAAAAAAUAAAACUCUACCAAAAAACAGUUCAGCUGUAGGUAUCAAAUUCAGGGGGAUCUUAAACUAUUAUGCCUCAAUAGAAGUAGAGAAACAUAUUAUUGUUAAGGUUUCAUUUUCAGUUUUACGUUUAUAUAGAAAAAAAAUGGGAUUCAUUUGUUUAUUUAGUAUAAUUUAAAAAAAUUGGCAAGGCUUAAAAGUAUAUAUUGAUGUAACUUAGCUUAAUGAAAGGGAAUAAUUAUCAUCUACUAUGGAGAAAAUUUCUCACAUAAGAAUAUUUCAUAUAUCAUAAAUUCUUUCAUAUUAGUGCAAAUCUUGCUAAACAUUAUAAGUAACAUACAUUAUCAUAUGGAAAAGUUUGUCCAUAACUCUGAUAGAUUGAAUGAACUGGAUUUUAAUUUUAUUUGCCAAGAAAAAACCAAACCAAAGAGCACCCAAGGUGUGGCCUAGUGGUCAAUAAAGUAGUUGAGAACUAUGAGGUCCCAGGUUCAAAACUCACUGGAAACAAAAAACACUAGGUGAUUCUUUCCAUCAGUCCUAGCUUUGGUAGACAGAAUUACCUAAUCCCUAUUGCUGGUGGGAGGUGGCAGGUAUCCCAUAGAAUUAGUCGAGGUGCACGAGAGCUAGCCUGGACACCAUGAUCAUCAAAUAAAUAAAAAAAGCCAAACCAAAAAAGCUAUAUAGUUGGUCUAGUUUUGCUUUUGAUGAAAAUCAAAUCAAACCCCAUGAACAAAUCCUAUUAUAAAGGAAAAUAAAAUAAAAUCAUAACAAAAUAUUUCAUCAUAUAUACGACUUAAAUAUUAAUGCAAAUCAUGCUAAUCUUCAUUUGAUUGUGUCCAUACAUGCAAUUACUUCGACAUUACAAUUACAAAAGAUAAAAGUUGAAGUUAUAGAAGUUACAAACUUGCUUUUCUGUCAUAAUGUAUUUCAUUGUGACUUGUGAGACACUGAGUUCUGAUUAUCUUCUUCGGAACAAUCAGAAGUAUGACUACUUUCACUUUUUGGUGAAAUGUUAUCUUUAAAACUCUCAGUAUGAGGCAUAUCUUGCCUCAUUUUUCCUUGUUGUUCAAGUUCAGCUGCCACCUCCUUCAUGGAUGGCCUUCUCCUUGCAUUAAAAUUUAAGCAUCUCUUGGCAAGUUUGGCCACAGCAGGAAUCACAUGUUCAUCCUCAACUUCUUUUACAAUUUCAGGGUCUACAAUCUCAAUUAUACGAUUUUCUUUCAAUGCUAAUGUGAAACGGAAAGCCAAACCUGGAUCUUCUGGUUGGUUUGAAGUGACAACUCUUUGACUUGUUAGAAGCUCUGCAAGAAUUACACCGAAGGCAUAGACAUCACAUUUGUCUGUAAGUUGACCUGAGCGGAAGUAUUCUGGAUCUAUGUAACCAAAUGUACCCCCUACCAUUGUUGUUAAAUGAGUCUUGUCAACAGACAACAAUCUCGAUAGUCCAAAAUCAGAAACCACUGCUCUAAAAUUUUCGUCUAGUAAUAUGUUGCUUGAUUUUAUAUCUCUGUGAAGAAUGGGAGUAGAAGCACAUGAGUGCAUGUAAGAUAGUGCCCCUGCUAUUUCUGCAGCAAUUCGCACCCGAUGAUCCCACGAUAAUAUUAUUGCUGGGUGCGGAAGAAUCUGAUCAUCCAACUCAGACUUUGAGACAGAAGGGUUAGAACUGUGACUGAGGUUUCCAUGAAUAUGGGAUGACAAGGUUCCAUUCGAGAUGUACUCAUAAACUAAUAAUGGGACUUGAGUUUCUAAGCAACAACCAAGUACCUGUUGUAAACAGUAAACUUAAAUGUUAAAAGUGUGAUCAAGUGCUAGGUUCAAUUGUAUUUUGAGUUAUCUUUGGUUCAUGAGUGACUAAUGAGUUAUCCUAAACUGUUCGCUUAUUAUGGUUGAAGCGAAUAGGAACACGAGUUGAUGUAGUAGCUCAGUGUGUGCGACUGCGUGUGUGUGUAAGUCUAGUGUGUUAUUUUGUAAGAGUAUAGGAGUCUUUCUAAUAUUAUAAGUUCAGUGUGUUAUUUUGUAAGAGUAUAGGAAUCUUUCUAAUAUUAUAAGUUCUCUCUUCAAUCCUCUUUAGGCAUUAUAAAUUUCUCUAUCGUCGAAUUGUGUUGCUCUCUUCUUCCAUUCAUAAUAAAAUGGUAGCAGGAGCCUAGUACAAAAAUCAACAGUACCUUGACAAUGUGUCUGUGAUUUAUUUGGGAGAGUAUGAGUAUCUCAUUUAUAAACUGUCCAAUUUGAUCUUUAUCCACUGCAUUGGACUUCUUCACAGCUACAAUGCUUCCAUCUGAUAACAUUCCUUUGUAAACAGUCCCAGCCCCUCCUUUACCAAGAAUUCGAAUUUCAUUGAAAUUGUCUGUUGCUUUCUCCAACUCCUCCUUCAAAAAGAGCUUUGGCAAAGAGCCACCACUACUUUCUCCAUUUAAGGAAAUACGUUGUCGCAAAAGCAAUCCACCAUUCCUCUUGAAAUACUUUUGCUUAGCUUUGUUUUCUUCCCUCUUCCGGAGCCAUUUGCAUAGCCAAAGACAAACUGCUACCAGGAUCACAAAAAUAAUUGCUGCUCCAAUACCUGCUUGUGAGCAAACCAAUUUCAUCUAAAACAAGCAUAAAUUCAUUUUGAGAAUCUAAGAGAAAGAGCUUUAAAUGCUUAUCCAGGCCCCUUUGUAAUUUUAAAGCAUAUAUUAAGUUGAACUUCUAAGUUUCUAAAGAGCAGUUAGCUAGAAUAAACAUGAAUAGGAUUAUGAAUCAUUUGUUGGGACAGUUCAAAAGGAGUAAUUUGUGUCAAAUAAAAAUUUAUAGAAAGCUUAAGUUAAUCUAACAAAGAAACAAGAGGAGAAAAAAGAAGACAAAGAAGAGAGUUAUACAAUACCGAUGGAGAGUUGUUUAGCUAGCAUAUGUCUCACAUUAUUUGAGUCACAAUGGUAAGUGCCAAGAGUAUUAACACAGCGAGUAUUGUUGGGACAAGGAUUCCUUUUUGGACUGGCACACUCAUCGAUGUCUGUGAAAAUUAACAAGAAGUCAUCAUAAAAACUGACAUUAGUAACUUAGAAAAUAAGUCAUGUUACAUGCUAAAAACAAGUUAAAAUAAAGGGGUACAGUGGGAUAUUGUUAUAUUGUUACUCUCUUUGUUUCAUUUUAUGUCUUAGUUUGAUUUUGCACUAAAUUUAAAAACCUAAAGAAUACUUUUGGAUCUUGUGUUGAACAAAAGGUGCCUAUAACACACUAAGGGGUCAUUUGGUAGAUUCAGUGUUUAGGGGAGCGCAAAGCGGUAAAAAGCGACAAGGCCCCACUUCAUGCUUUAAGCGAAGCGUGAAGCGAAGCACUCGCUUCAUUGAAGUGAAGCACAAUUUAAAAGAAAAAAGACCAAAAUAAAUAGACAAAAUUUAUAAGCAAAAAUUCAUAUUAAAAUACUAGAAAACAGACAUACAAUUGUUGUCCUAUUGGUCUCACUUUUUUCCCAUAUUUUCAUGUUGGGCCAGCCAUUUUUAAUCGCGGAUAAGAUUUAAGAAAACUAAUCAACAUUAUAUUUUUAUCACUAUUAAGAAAAAAUUCAACAACAUUUUAGUCAUUGUUAAGAAACAAAACAAUUUAGCGAUGUAUAUUUUAAUCACUGUGAGGAAAAAAAUUAAGCAACAUAUAAUUUAAAUAAUCAAAGCUAAACAGGGCAAAGGAAAACAGAAUAACGAACAAAGUGGAAAAAAAAUAAAAAUAUCCUAGGCUAGUUGUAGUAGUAGUAGUAGUAAGAAGAAGAAGAGGAAGAACUAGGUAAGUCAUGCCUAUUUUUAUUCUUUAAAAUCGAUCACUUAUUACUUAGAAAAAAUAAAAGCGUUGCUUUUCUCGCUUCACCGCUUCUGGUCGCAUUGCGCUUCAAGCCUAGAAGCGGUCGCUUCUUUUCACAUGCCUCGCUUCAGCCAACUGAAGCGCUGAACCCUCGCUUCACCGCUUAAAGCAAUGAAGCGCUCGCUUUCCUGAACACUGGGUAGAUUGUAUUAGGAAAAAUAGUUCAUGUAUUAUGUAUAGUAUUAUAUAGUACUAUGUUUGGUGGGAAUUUUGGGCCUAUUUAUAAUUAAUGCAUGUAUUAGUUAUACAUGUUAUAUGGUAUUAUUAUAGGGUGUAUAACUAAUACCUUCCAUUUGGUGGUAUUAAUACAUAGGAUUUAAUACCAUGGUUCAUUAUAUGUAAAGACAAAAAUACCCGUCAAAUCCUUUUAAUCAUUUUUGUUUACUUUCUUGAUUUUAUGUUUUAUAUUUGUACUAGUAAAUUUAUUUAAAUAAAUUAGCUUACAAAUUUUAUUAUUUAGAGAGAGUUGUUUGUUGCUAAAUAAAUCUAAUACAAAUCAUUAAAUCAAUACAAUAUUUGAAAUGUGAGUUGUUCAACAUUUACUAAUUCAAAAGGCAAAAUAUAUGGCCACAUGACAUUUAUGAUCUUAAUUGAAUGUAUUACUUAUUGAUAUAUAUGUGGUUUUAUGAUUAUUUGUAUUUUGAACAAUUUAUAAAAUUACAUACAUAUUAAAACUAUAACUUGCCAUUUUGUGUGUAAAAAUAGAUGGUUUAUUCGAUAUUUUAGUAUUGUUUACCGUCUUUUCGGUUUUGAAAGUAGAUGGUCUAUCUUUUUUGAAUUAAAAAUUGACGAUUUGUGAGUGAUCAAUUUAUUAAGGGUUAGAACUGUGACUGAGGUUUCCAUGAACAUGGGAUGACAAGGUUCCAUUCGAGAUGUACUCAUAAACUAAUAAUGGGACUUGAGUUUCUAAGCAACAACCAAGUACCUGUUGUAAACCGUAAACUUAAAUGUUAAAAGUGUGAUCAAGUGCUAGGUUCGAUUCUUGCUAACUUUAAGUUUUUAACAUCAUUUUUUGUUAGUCAAAACUCACUAAAUAUUUUGUUGGUUACUUUUUAAAAUUUUGCACACCCUUCAUAAAAUGUCUGGCUCCGCCACUGUGCAAGUCUAGUGUGUUAUUUUGUAAGAGUAUAGGAGUCUUUCUAAUAUUAUAAGUUCGCUCUUCAAUCCUCUUUAGGCAUUAUAAAUUUCUCUAUCGUCGAAUUGUGUUGCUCUCUUCUUCCAUUCAUAAUAAAAUGGUAGCAGGAGCCUAGUACAAAAAUCAACAGUACCUUGACAAUGUGUCUGUGAUUUAUUUGGGAGAGUAUGAGUAUCUCAUUUAUAAACUGUCCAAUUUGAUCUUUAUCCACUGCAUUGGACUUCUUCACAGCUACAAUGCUUCCAUCUGAUAACAUUCCUUUGUAAACAGUCCCAGCCCCUCCUUUACCAAGAAUUCGAAUUUCAUUGAAAUUGUCUGUUGCUUUCUCCAACUCCUCCUUCAAAAAGAGCUUUGGCAAAGAGCCACCACUACUUUCUCCAUUUAAGGAAAUACGUUGUCGCAAAAGCAAUCCACCAUUCCUCUUGAAAUACUUUUGCUUAGCUUUGUUUUCUUCCCUCUUCCGGAGCCAUUUGCAUAGCCAAAGACAAACUGCUACCAGGAUCACAAAAAUAAUUGCUGCUCCAAUACCUGCUUGUGAGCAAACCAAUUUCAUCUAAAACAAGCAUAAAUUCAUUUUGAGAAUCUAAGAGAAAGAGCUUUAAAUGCUUAUCCAGGCCCCUUUGUAGUUUUAAAGCAUAUAUUAAGUUGAACUUCUAAUUUUCUAAAGAGCAGUUAGCUAGAAUAAACAUGAAUAGGAUUAUGAAUCAUUUGUUGGGACAGUUCAAAGGAGUAAUUUGUGUCAAAUAAAAAUUUAUAGAAAGCUUAAGUUAAUCUAACAAAGAAACAAGAGGAGAAAAAAGAAGACAAAGAAGAGAGUUAUACAAUACCGAUGGAGAGUUGUUUAGCUAGCAUAUGUCUCACAUUAUUUGAGUCACAAUGGUAAGUGCCAAGAGUAUUAACACAGCGAGUAUUGUUGGGACAAGGAUUCGUUUUUGGACUGGCACACUCAUCGAUGUCUGUGAAAAUUAACAAGAAGUCAUUAUAAAAACUGACAUUAGUAACUUAGAAAAUAUAUAAGUCAUGUUACAUGCUAAAAACAAGUUAAAAUAAAGGGGUACAGUGGGAUAUUGUUAUAUUGUUACUCUCUUUGUUUCAUUUUAUGUCUUAGUUUGAUUUUGCACUAAAUUUAAAAACCUAAAGAAUACUUUUGGAUCUUGUGUUGAACAAAAGGUGCCUAUAACACACUAAGGGGUCGUUUGGUAUAUUCAGUGUUUAGGGGAGUGCAAAGCAGUAAAAAGCAACAAGGCCCUGCUUCAUGCUUUAAGUGAAGCGUGAAGCGUGAAGCGUGAAGCGUGAAGCGUGAAGCGAAGCGCUCGCUUCAUUGAAGUGAAGCACAAUUUAAAAGAAAAAAAGACCAAAAUAAAUAGACAAAAUAUAUAAGCAAAAAUUCAUAUUAAAAUACUAGAAAACAGACAUACAAUUGUUGUCCUAUUGGUCUCACUUUUUCCCCCAUAUUUUCAUGUUGGGCUAGCCAUUUUUAAUCGCAGAUAAGAUUUAAGAAAACUAAUCAACAUUAUAUUUUUAUCACUAUUAAGAAAAAAUUCAACAACAUUUUAGUCAUUGUUAAGAAACAAAACAAUUUGGCGAUGUAUAUUUUAAUCACUGUGAGGAAAAAAAUUAAACAACAUAUAAUUUAAAUAAUCAAAGCUAAACAGGGCAAAGGAAAAUAGAAUAACGAACAAAGUGGAAAAAAAAGAAGAAAUAUCCUAGGCUAGUUGUAGUAGUGGUAGUAGUAAGAAGAAGAAGAGGAAGAACUAGGUAAGUCAUGCCUAUUUUUAUUCUUUAAAAUCGAUCACUUAUUACUUAGAAAAAAUAAAAGCAUUGCUUUUCUCGCUUCACCACUUCUGGUCGCAUCGCGCUUCAAGCCCAGAAGUGGUCGCUUCUUUUCACAUGCCUCGCUUCAGCCAACUGAAGCGCUCGCUUUCCUGAACACUGGGUAGAUUGUAUUAGGAAAAAUAGUUCGUGUAUUAUGUAUAGUAUUAUAUAGUACUAUGUUUGGUGGGAAUUUUGGGCCUAUAUAUAAUUAAUGCAUGUAUUAGUUAUACAUGUUAUAUGGUAUUAUUAUAGGGUGUAUAACUAAUACCUUCCAUUUGGUGGUACUAAUAAUACAUAGGAUUUAAUACCAUGGAUCAAUAUAUGUAAAGACAAAAAUACCCGUCAAAUCCUUUUAAUCAUUUUUGUUUACUUUCUUGAUUUUAUGUUUUUAUAUUUGUACUAGUAAAUUUAUUUAAAUAAAAUUAGCUUACAAAUUUUAUUAUUUAGAGAGUAGUUGUUUGUUGCUAAAUAAAUCUAAUACAAAUCAUUAAAUCAAUACAAUAUUUGAAAUGUGAGUUGUUCAACAUUUACUAAUUGAAAAGACAAAUAUAUGGCCACGUGACAUUUGUGAUCUUAAUUGAAUGUAUUAUUUAUUGAUAUAUAUGUGGUUUUUUGAUUAUUUGUAUUUUGAACAAUUUAUAAAAUUGCAUACAUAUUAAAACUAUAACUUGCCAUUUUGUGUGUAAAAAUAGAUGGUUUAUUCGAUAUUUUAGUAUUGUUUACCGUCUUUUCGGUUUUGAAAGUAGAUGGUCUAUCUUUUUUGAAUUAAAAAUUAACGAUUUGUGAGUGAUCAAUUUAUUAGAAUGACAAUUAUUCUCAAAAAAUUUUAUUAGAAUGACAAUUAUUUACCCUCAAAUAAUUCAAGUGAGAAAAUAGCAAACACGGCGACAAAAAAUUGUUCUUUUCCUAGCUAGUUAGAAGGCCCUUGACCCAAUUACAUGUAAUAGAAAAUUGUAUAAUAAUUCAAGGGUACAAUUGGAAAGAAGCUUUUUGUAGAGGUUUACACAAAAAUAGGUGGAAAGCAAUGAACCAGAUAAAAAAUAAUCUCUGUAUUAUUAAUCUAUAGAUUACUAAUCUCUGCAUUAUUAAUCUUUGUAUUGAAUGACCCCUAAAAGUACUUUAAAUCCUGUGAUCUUAGAGAUUCCAUGGCAUUCCUAUAAGGGAGUCUUAUCAAGCAUAACAUAUGAGAAUAUAGGAAUUAAAAACUUACUAAAUAUAGAAAAACAUGAAGCUCCUUGUUGAAACAGACUAAAAACGAAAAUAAGAUACGUAUACACAAGUUAAAUCGCAAAAACAAAAAGAGAAACUGACCAGGGAUUAGUACCUUGGCAUCCAUGAAGGAGGUAAGGGUUGCCUUCAUAACCAGAAGAGCAAUCGCAUCGGUAUCCCCCAGCAGGUCUAGUAGUAUCAUCGAUGCACCUACUAUUCUUUGUACAUGCAUAUUUUGGCAUUCUUGUGGCUUUGUUGCAACUAAGAUUGCCAAUUACCCAGUCCAGCGCCAUCCUUCCUUCAUAAUGAUCAUCUUCUUUGCACUUACCACGUAACUGAGUGAAGUCAAACUCGGAACUGCCCUUUUCCACAAUUAAGUAAUAGGUGCAAUUGCUAGAUGUCCAAGAUGUUUCCGCCGUGUUCAUUGUUUGUAUGUACAUAUUGAAGUCUCUUGGUACUAUUUUUGAUAAUUCAGACUGACAACAACCGUUAUUCCCAGUGCAAUAAGAUGAUGAAACAUUAUAAGUGGAGUUGCCACAGAAAGAAGCACAUUGACUUACAAUGCUGCCUCCACUACCGGUGUCUAAAUCUUUGGCAUAAGCAUAAAUGUCACACCCAAUGGCUACUAAGUUGUUCUUGUUGGAAAUACUGAAAUACUCGUUACUGGUUGCUUGAAGAUAAUCAUUGUAAAUGUUCUUUCCAGAUGAUUUGUUGUAGAGGAAAGGAGUAAAAGUAAUAUAAAGAGUGAUGGAGUCCAUUGAUAUGUGUUGCACAGGCAAACCAUUACCAUGACUAAAAGCAGUAUUGUUAUCGCAGCUCACUUCAAAUGCUUCAUUGAAGUAACACUUUUUUCCUAUUCCAAAUGGAAAAGGAAUGGUUACGUUGCCACAUCGUUCUGGGCAUCCAGGUCUUUGUGAAGAUAAUAUUGCUGAUGAUGACCAUAUUCUUAUAGCUGAAACUUGUGUUGUUUCUUUAGAAAGCAGCCCCGUCAGAAGAAUGAAAAAUGACCACAUGGUUAUCUGCAUCUUCAUGUAUUACUGCCUCAUUCUCUGGUUGAAUCGUAUCUUAUGAUGGCACAAAAUUCUGCAAACAUCAUUAGACUUUUGAAAUAGGCCCUGCUAAGGCUUCCCCACUUCUCGACAAACGAAAAAAGUAAUAACUUUACAAGUGGGAUCCAUAUUAUGAUUUUUAAAUGUUUUGGUCCGGUUAAUAUUUAAUUUGCAUUUUCGAUUCAUCAUUGUUGGAUCGAGCUGGUCUUUUUACGUGGAGUUUCUAACAUCCUAUUCUUAAUUUGAAUAGUGGAGAUAGUGAUUGUAUCUACUGUUUCCCUUUCCAUGCCUCAUUUGAUAUGUUUUACUUGAACCGAGGUAUCCAUUGGAAACAAUCUCUCUAACUUCACAAAGUAGGGGUGAGGUUGCGUACACCCCACCCUCCCCAAACCCCACUUGUGAGAUUAUAUGCUUAUGUUGUUGUUGUUGAGAUCGUGAUUGUAGCUGCAAAAUUUUGUUUUAAGAAAUAGACGGCUUUGUCUUCAAGCCGUCAAUAAAAUUGAGCUAUAAUAUGUGAUUAUGAUUGUACACUGAUGCUUUAGUCCUUUUUACUUAUUGGCAAGCUAAUACACGAUUAUGAUAUUUAGUGCAUUGAUGCACAAGUCUUCAUUUCUUUAUAGUUUGCUAAUAUGUGAUUAUGAUAUAUAGUACAUUGAUGCAGAAGUCUUCUUUACUUUAUAGUGAGCUAAUAUGCGAUUAUAUAUAUAGUGAUUGAUGCAGGAGUCUUCUUUAUGUUACGUCAAGCUAAUAUAUGAUUAUAAUAUAUAGUAUAUUACAUUGAUGCAUAAGUCUUCUUUAUUUUACCGUGAGCUAAUAUGUGAUUAUGAUAUAUAAUGAGUCUUCUUUACUUUAUGUAAAGCUAAUAUGUGAUUAAAAUAUAUAGUGAGUGCUAAUAUGUGAUUAAAAUAUAUAGUGAGUCUUCUUUGCUUUAUGUAAAGCUAAUACUAUAUGAUUAUGAUGUAUAGUAACAUUGAUGUAUAAAUUUUCUUUAUUUUACAGCUUUUUGAUUAUUUUGUGUGGGUGGAACACUAGUCCCUACAAGUCUUACUAUAGUUCAUUCUAUACAAUGGUCGAUUGCCUCCUCCAUUAUUGGCUCAAUUCACAGGCGAAUCUAGAAUAUAGCAUACGGGUUCACAAGAAUUCAAUCACUUCGGUAUUUAUAUCAAUAAUUCUUCUAAAUGUUUACAAAUAUUUAACUAUGAACUCAAUUUUUAUUAUUAUAUUACUUGAAGUUGUUGUAGAAACUGAUAAAUUUUAAAUUUUGGAUUUGGCUAUGACUCCAUAAAUGCUAAAAGUCAAUAACGACCAGGUUUAAUUAUUG
rnacentral:lncRNA from 1 species